CCGAACAGAGCAAUUGGAAUUUUAGUAUUAUAAUUCGUUGAACUUCGGAAUUGUAGUAUCUGCGUCAGAUUUAGCUGCAGUAAUCCUCGUUUUUACGGCAGUCCGUUUCUUACAACGGAUCCACGGAGCUCCUCUCCCCGAGCGCUGCUCUUCCUCGGGCAUCUCCACCGCGCGGAUGGUGAUGGUCCCGGGCGGCGUCGCGCCGCUGCACUCCCACCCGGGAGGCACCGAGCUCAUCUUCGUCAUCGAGGGCAGCGUCGUCUCCGGCUUCAUCAGCGCCACGCUCAACAGGGUGUACACCAAGACGCUGUACGCCGGCGACUGAUGGUGCUCCCGCAGGGCCAGCUCCACUUCCAGUACAGCCACGGCAACACCACGGCGGUGACGCACUGACGCUGUCCUCGUUCAGCAGCGACAACCCCGGCCUGCAGAUCCUCGACUUCGCGCUCUUCGCCAACGACCUGCCCACAGAGGUCGUGAACAAGGUGACCAACCUGGACGAACUGCAGAUCGUCAAACUCAAGGCGCUGUUCGGAGGGAGGGGCUAGACGCAUAUGUACUCCGUAUAUAGGAACAGUCAACGGUGUUGAUCAUUGAAUUGUGUGUAUUAUUCUAUACUUGUGAUGGAUAUUUAUCUUGUCAUUCUAUAAAAUAAAUUGUAACGCGGGCAGCAAGCGUGAGAGCGAAAGUAGCUGCCACAUUUGAUGUACUAAUAUUUACAUCUCGAUUGUUAAUAAUAAUACAUUAUUAGCGCUAGUUUGAUGACCCUAUUUUUUAAGAAAUUUAGAUAAAUUGUUGAGAAUCGCUGGUAAAAAUGAAGAACCAUUCAAAUUAACAGAUUUCUUUGAGAAGAACCAUUCCAACUUCUUCAGCGUAACUCUGCCCGUCAAAUCACUAGGUAAAGACUGACAUCUAAGAGAAUGAUAAAUUAGACAAAAUAAAAAGGAAAAAAGAACUGAUUCGAUGUCUCCAUUAACUAGUAGCCCCAAAGCUGCAUCUAACGUCAGAUGCUCAAGACACUGCACAGGCGUCAUCAGAACGGGAGAUGGGAAGUAAGAAUUGGGCGUGUUUUCGGGAAUAUUUACCUCUGCCUGUUCCGUUCCAGUCACUCAAGAAGAAGGCGCCUGCGCAUACGACAUCGCGGCGAUAGAGUAGAAAGGCGUGAACGCGGUCGCCAACUUCGACCUGAGAUCCUAACGUCACAUGGCUGAAAGUGGCUGGAACCAAGUGCAGCUCCGGCAGCCUUCAACCCAGAGGCGGCGGCGCGGCGCUCGUGAUGCAGGCAGCUCCACCGCCAGGUGGAGACGACCCAGAUGCUCCCGCGAGGCAGGUUCCUACUCGACCAUAGCAGUAGCUGCGGCGGCGGCAAGGAGGCCCCUAUGUCCAUGGCGUCUCCAGGUGCGGGCGGCAUGAGGAAGAGAGGCUCCUCAACCGCGCUCAGCCUCCUGCUCGAGGAGAGGAGGAGCGCUCGGGGAGAGCAGCGCUCGUGGAUCCGUUGUAAUAAGAAACGGAACUGCCGUAAAAACGAGGAUUACUGGGUUCAAUCUGACGCAGAUACUACAAUUCCAAAGUUCAACAAAUUAUAAUAUUAAAAUUCCAAUUGUUCUGUUCGGGAUACCUAUUUUCAGAAGCCCAAGUGUUGAUAAUAUCACGAUUCCAAAAAGC
rnacentral:lncRNA from 1 species